CCCAUAUAAGCUCAGUGGGUAGAGCAUGUGACUCUUGAUCUCGGGGUUGUGAGUUCAAGCCCCACAUUGGGU
rnacentral:tRNA from 1 species